GAUGAACGCUGGCGGCGUGCCUAAUACAUGCAAGUCGAGCGAACAGACGAGGAGCUUGCUCCUCUGACGUUAGCGGCGGACGGGUGAGUAACACGUGGAUAACCUACCUAUAAGACUGGGAUAACUUCGGGAAACCGGAGCUAAUACCGGAUAAUAUAUUGAACCGCAUGGUUCAAUAGUGAAAGACGGUUUUGCUGUCACUUAUAGAUGGAUCCGCGCCGCAUUAGCUAGUUGGUAAGGUAACGGCUUACCAAGGCGACGAUGCGUAGCCGACCUGCGAGGGUGAGCGGCCACACUGGAACUGAGACACGGUCCAGACUCCUACGAGAGGCAGCAGUAGAGAAUCUACCGCAAUGGGCGAAAGCCUGACGGAGCAAAGCCGCGUGAGUGAUGAAGGUCUUCGGAUCUUAAAACUCUGUUAAUAGGGAAGAACAAAUGUGUAAGUAACUAUGCACGUCUUGACGGUACCUAAUCAGAAAGCCACGGCUAACUACGUG
rnacentral:rRNA from 1 species